rnacentral:rRNA from 1 species
CCUACGGGUGGCAGCAGUGGGGAAUAUUGGGCAAUGGGCGCAAGCCUGACCCAGCAACGCCGCGUGAAGGAAGAAGGCUUUCGGGUUGUAAACUUCUUUUCUCAGGGACGAAGAAAGUGACGGUAACUGAGGAAUAAGCCACGGCUAACUACGUGCCAGCAGCCGCGGUAAUACGGAGGUGGCAAGCGUUAUCCGGAUUUAUUGGGUGUAAAGGGCGUGUAGGCGGGAUGGUAAGUCAGAUGUGAAAACUUAGGGCUCAACCCUGAGCCUGCAUUUGAUACUGUGGUUCUUGAGUGCUGGAGAGGCAGUCGGAAUUCGGGGUGUAGCGGUGAAAUGCGUAGAUAUACGGAGGAACACCAGUGGCGAAGGCGGACUGCUGGACUGUAACUGACGCUGAUGCGCGAAAGUGUGGGGAGCAAACAGGAUUAGAUACCCUGGUAGUC